AUGACGCUGCCGCUCCUCCAUGUGACUCCGCCCCCAGGGUCCCAGAGCACCUCUGCCAUUGGCUGGGAUCCUCCUGCCGCGCAAUUGGCCCAGCCGCGCCGUAUCCAGCCCCGCCUCCUCACGUUCCCACCUUGUGCCUGCCGGCUUGGGUGGAGAGAGCAGGCCUGCUUCUGGAAGAAGCUGCCUGGGCUGGUGGAGCUUGUUGCAGCUCAAGCCAAGGAGCUCAGAAGGGUGCAGCGUUUGACAUAUCGUCGUAGGCUUUCCUACAAUACAGCCUCUAACAAAACCAGGCUGUCCUGAACCCCGGGUAAUAGAAUUGUUUACCUUUAUACCAAGAAGUUUGGGAAAGCACCAAAAUUUACAUGUGGCGUGUGCCCAGGCAGACUUCGAGGGGUUCGCCCUGUGACACCUAAGGUUCUUAUGAGGUUGUCUAAAACAAAAAAAGUAUCAGCAGGGCCUAUGGUGGUUCCAUGUGUGCUAAAUGUGUUCGUGACAGGAUCAAGCGUGCUUUCCUUAUUGAGGAGCAGAAAAUCGCUGUGAAAGUGUUGAAGGCACAAGCACAGAGUCAGAAAGCUAAAUAAGAAAAUGAAGCUUUUUUGAGUAAUAAAAAUUAAGAC